UCAUUCCCAGUAUGAGGCAGGAGCCCUCCCCUCACAGACAUUCCUGCCUGUGUUUCCUCCCGGGAUCCCGCUUUCCCACUUACCUCAGGGCAGAAGCGUUCUAUCCAUGGAAUUGGUGCAUCAGCAGUCAGAUCAGGCUUUUGGCAGCUUACCUUGCAGGGAAUCAAAAUGAGUUGAUGGUCACACUCAGCCGACGCUUUGCUAUCAACCAGGAGUGGGAGCUACAUGAUUCCAUGAUAAACAUACUUGUGGCACCUUAGAGACUAACAAAAUUAUUUGAGCAUAAGCUUUCGUGAGCUACAGCUCACUUCAUCGGAUGCAGCUUAGUCGCUAAGGUGCCACAAGUACUCCUUUUCUUUUUGCGAAUACAGACUAACACGGCUGCUACUCUACUCCUAUCUUGAGUCUUGCAGAAGAUUCAUUGGGACAAGACACGAGUCAUCAUCAUCACCCCCAACUGGACCAGACAGUUUUGAUUCCAGAGACUUGUACUCCUGUCAUCUUACUCAUCGAUCAGUAUUCAACCCUUUUCCAAUAGCCUGACCCGGGGAAGGGCAGAAUCAAGCAUUCCAAUCCCCAAGCACUCCAUCUCAGGCAUGGGUUUUUGGAUGGGCAUCAACUCUAAAACAUUUCUGCUCUGAAGCCAUGCAAAGCAUCCUUACUAAUAGCUGAAAAGAUUCCACUCGGAAAGGCUACUUAGCCAAGUGGAAGUGUUUCUCUGUCUGGGCACAAAAAAAACUUAUAUCCCCAGAAGCUGCAGGUAUUCUCCUUAUUCUGAACUAUCUUCUUUCCCUCAAAGUAGCUCGUCUUUCCAUCAGCUCUUUAUGAAUCGACCUGGCACCGAUCAGUGUGUACCACCCACCUUCAUAUGGGAACUCAAUUUUUGCUCACCUGCUGACUGCCUGGUUCUGGAAGGGCCAAGUUAGAACCUUUCUGCCAGUAAGGAACCCUGCCCCGCAGUGGCACCUACGCCUUGUUCUUUCGGUGCUCACAAAGCCACCCUGGAAACCACUGUCUACAUGUUCCGUGUCUCGCCUAUCUAUGAAGGUUGCAUUCCUGGUAGCCAUAAUCUCAGCCAGGAGGUGGGUGUAGGAUAAGUACAAAAUUAAAGAAUUAAAGUUAGCUUAAGUUAAAUGAUAAGGCCAGAAGGAAUAAAGUAGGGAGGACGUCUGGUUCAAAGAACAACUAGUGAGAUAAAGGGAAGUUUCUAAACAGAAGGCCUCUGACCAAUAGGAGAAGCUGUAGAUGGUUUUAAAUAAAACAAAGAGAAUCUGUCUUUAAAUGAGCCAAUAGGACCCUUCCCCAGCCCACACACCAGUAACGCCUAUGUGAGCCCAGGUGCAAUGGGAAACCUGUUGGACAGCAGGAAGGAGGGAGGAAAGGCCUUGGGAAGAAAAGAGGUUGUAAAUCUUACCUGGAUUAAGGCUGGAAAUAAGGGUGAACUGUCUCCAGUUGUCUUUUGCUGUAGUCAGUAAUUGGCAGUGACAUCACUUGUUUGUUAAAGAUAUAAAUAGUAAACUCUUAAAGGGUUCAUUGAUCAUACCUGCCUGACCAAGCUAGAGCCGACCAAUAUGGGUCUAAGCACCCCUUGCUUUUAGCCCAUUUGUAAGUAUCUUGAUCAAAUGCUUAUACAGGUUUUGUUACUGUUUGGAUGCAUUGCUUAUUAUUCAGGCUUUUUAGGCAUGUUUAGAGUAAUUGUAUAAGUUUGUCUUUGGAUUUAAUAAAGGAAUUUAUGGUUGUAA